UGCAGCUUACCACAUUAACACAAGUAUAACUUAGUGUCGUGUCUCUACCGCUCAAGGCUGGAUGUAGGAUUGCCUAGAGUUGCUCUCUGGAAUACUGGCGCUCAACGAUGGUUGUUGUCUUUACUAUCUAGAAAGUGUUCAUUCAACGGCAAAGAGAUGACACUCAAUGCCACCUAGACUUCAUGACCUCCCAAUUUUCAUUGUUCUUCCUACUUCUCUGGGUUACCA
rnacentral:lncRNA from 1 species